rnacentral:lncRNA from 1 species
UGCUUCCCUUCCCCGAGGCUGUUGUCCACCUUUUAGUUCAUGAAUUCAUGAAUGAAGCAGAGCUUCCCAGUACGUAGUUGAAUAUUCUAGUCGUGGGUCCUCCUAGUUCUGCUAUGUGGGACGCCGCCUCAGCAUGGCCUAAUGAGCGAUGCCAUGUCCGCGCCCAGGAUCCGAACUAGCGAAACCCUGGGCCGCCGAAGCGGAGCACAUGAACUUAACCACUCGGCCAUGGGGAGCCCCUCUUUAAAAAUUUUUGGCUACUCUGUGGAUAGAUGAACUUAUUUAAUAUAUCUGUACAUGCUUCGUAAGGUGGUGAUUUUCUUCUAGGAGGCAUGUGCUAACUUUCUCCUCUCUGUUUUCCUGCCCCCUCCCCAAAUUUUCCUACUGCCUUCUGCCCAGACCACUGACAUUCUGUGGCCAGAGACCAGUCCAAAUGGACCAUGAAGACUGUUUAAGUAGUGAUCAUAUUUUUAAAAAAUGUUACUGUUUUUUAAUGUUUAAUGUAACAUUAAAAAUGUUAAUAUUAUAUGUUCUUUCAUGUAACAUGUAAAGUACAGAGACUUUAAGUGGACAGCUCAAUGAAUUUUUACAUAUGUAUGCACGCAUAUACCAUCAUCUAGAUCAAGAUGAGGCUCCCAGUCCAUACUCAGACAUAACCACUGUUCUGAUUUCUGUCACCAUAGAUUAGUUUUACCUGUUCUUGACCUUCUUAUGGGUAGAAUCAUACAGUCCGUAGUCUUUUGUGUCUGGUUUUAUUUGAUCAUCAUGUCUGUGAAAUUCGUUUGUCUUGUUGCAUGUAACAAUAACAAUAGUUUACUCUUUUUCAUUGCUGUGUUGUAUUCCAUCACAUGAGUAUAUCGCUAUUUAUCCAUUCUCCUGUUGAUGGACAUUUGUGUUGUUUACAAUUUUUAGCUUUUAUGUCUAAAGCUGCCAUGAGCAUUCCUGUACAUAUCUUUUAGUGGACAUGUGCACUCAUUUCUCUUGAGUUUAUGCAUAAGAAUGAAACUACCAAAUCAUAAGAUAGGUGUAUAUAUAGCUGUGGAAGAUAUUGCCAAAUAGUUUUCAACAGCGGUUGUACCAUUUUACGCUCCCA